UACGUAGGGGCUAGCGUUGUCCGGAAUCAUUGGGCGUAAAGCGCGUGUAGGCGGCCGGUAAGUCCGCUGUGAAAGUCGAGGCUCAACCCUCGAAGCCGGUGGAUACUGUCGGCUCGAGUGCGGGAGAGGCGAGUGGAAUUCCUGGUGUAGCGGUGAAAUGCGCAGAUAUCAGGAGGAACACCGAUUGCGAAGGCAGCUCGCUGGAACGUAACUGACGCUGAGACGCGAAAGCGUGGGGAACAAACAGG
rnacentral:rRNA from 1 species